UCAUUCAUCAUGUCUUGUUUCAAGUCAGACAUCAGUUCAUUAAAUUUCUUUAAUAGUCUGCCAAUUUUAUAUCCUAAAAAGUUUCUUAUUUCAAUAAAAUUUCUGAUCUCUUGUCUAAAUAUUUUGAGUGUUUGUAUAUUUUUUAUUUUUUUGUCAGACAUAUAGUAUACUUUAUAUAUAGUGUAACUGAUAAUAGUUAAAAGUAAA
rnacentral:lncRNA from 1 species